CCUACGGGAGACUGCAGUGGGGAAUAUUGCACAAUGGGGGAAACCCUGAUGCAGCGACGCCGCGUGAGUGAAGAAGGAAUUCGUUAUGUAAAGCUCUAUCAGCAGGGAAGAAAAUGACGUUACCUGAAUAACAAGGCCUGGCCAACUACGUGUCAGCAGCCGCGGUAAUACGGAGGGGGCAAGCGUUAACCGGAUUUACUGGGUGUAAAGGGAGCGUAGACGGCAGGGCAAGUCUGGAGGGAAAGGCGGGGGCUCAACCCCCGGACUGCUCUGGAAACUGGACGGCUGGAGUGCAGGGGAGGUAAGUGGAAUUCCUAGUGUAGCGGUGAAAUGCGUAGAUAUUAGGAGGAACACCAGUGGCGAAGGCGGCUUGCUGGACUGUAACUGACGUUGAGGCUCGAAAGCGUGGGGAGCAAACAGGAUUAGAUACCCCUGUAGUC
rnacentral:rRNA from 1 species